AGCCCAUUCCUGAGUUCCCUGGUCUUACCAUUCGGGGAUCAGCACUAAACCCAGACCUCUCACCAUGAAGUUGUGGCUGAACUGCAUUUUCUUUGUAACUCUUGUAAAAGAUAUCCAAUGUGAAGUGCAGCUGGUGGAGUCUGGAGGAGGAUUGGUACAGCCUGGGGGUUCCCUGAAACUCUCCUGUGCAGCCUCUGGAUUCACCUUCAGUGACUAUUGGAUGAACUGGGUCCGCCAGGCUCCAGGGAAGGGGCUGGAAUGGAUUGCAGUGAGUAGAAACAAAGCUAAUAGUUACACAACAGAGUACAGUGCGACUGUGAAGGGCCGGUUCACCAUCUCCAGAGAUGAUUCCAAAAACACCCUCUACCUGCAAAUGAACAGCCUGAAGGCUGAGGACACUGCCACUUACUACUGUGCAAGAGACACAGUGAGGGGACUUCAUUGUGAACCCAGACACAAACCUCCUUGCCAGGGUGCCCAGCACCAACAGAGGGCGCUCUGGGCCAGAUAA